CGGGACAUCCGCACACUGCAGCCCCGCUCAGGCCACAACGGCGCGGCGCCGCUUGCCGAACUGAGCCCAGGGGUCGAACGGACUGGUCUGCAAUCGGGUGGAGUCGCCGGCGACUAGGUUGCAGCGCUACCCAAAAACUUGUGCGAACACACACACACACACACGGGAUCCGCACUUUCGCUAAUGUGCAGACGUCGACGCUGCAGCCCCGCUCAGGCCACGACGGCGCGGCACCGCUUGCCGGAAGGAGGCCAGGAGUCGAACGGACCGGUCUGCAGUCGGGUGUAGUCUCCGGCGAUGAGGUUGCAGCGCUACUCAGAAAGUUGCAGUUGCAGGUGAGGUCACUACCCAGAAUCUGCAACCUCAAUCUCCUCCGACCUUGAUCGGUGCCCAGAAGCGGUCUGGGAUGCCUCCGGCCUCGGUCCAGCCCGAUUCGCGCAGCCGCCGCAGCUUGAGGGGGAUUGCUGUGUCGACAUCUGCUAUAUAUAUAUAUAUAUCUAUAAUUAUAUACCUCCAGCCUCGGUCCUGUCCGAUUCGCGCAGCAGCCGCUGCACGAGCGGGGCUGCUGCGUCGACG
rnacentral:lncRNA from 1 species